GGUCCUUCACUACAUCAAGAAGCAUGCUCCAUCUCCCAGUGUCCCUAAUCAACUUCAAGUUCCUUUUACGCAUGUUUCAUUCACCUGCAUGAAGAACUGUAUUUGCAUUCUUCACUUUAAGGAUAAAGUCUUCUGAACACUACUUGUCAGUCUCUGCUGGCCUGUACUUGAGAGUGCACUUCUGCUCUGAGAAAAUAGCAACAGUGUCUUCUUUUCUAGAAUAUGAAGAGCACCUGGUGACAAUAAACAAGUUUGCUCUGUGUUACCA